rnacentral:lncRNA from 1 species
AUGGGGGUAAGAAGGACAACAGUGAAGGGUCUUUUGGAGAACUGGAAUGCCAGGCUUGCGGGCUGCCUCCUGCGAUGGAAUACCCACCGUCAGGCUUUUUCCUGGAAACGUGUAGACACAGAUAAACUUUGCUUAUUAAUUUCAGACCAGACACCAAGAAUAGACAGAGGGCCCCUUUGCAGUGCUAACCUUGCUGCCUUCUCAGAUAUCCAGGUUUCCUUCCAGGAAGCCAUCCUCCUCCAGAAGGGAUCAUUUGGAUGUGGCCCCUUCCCACUGAACUGAGCUAUAGCCGAGUGACUCCCUUGGGCAGUGGAACACAGGUAAAGUGGCAUGUACCACGUCUGGAUGGAAGCAAAGACACCGUGCAGUUGAGGGGCAGGAAGAUGGGGUGCUGAUAUCAUAUUGCACCAGCAGGUUGCAGAAAGAGGACACUCAUUUAGCCUGGGUCCCAGGGCACCGCCAGCAUGGAGCGGAGUGGCAGCCAACCUGUAAUGAAGUCAUGAUGUGACUGGCUUCAUGAUGAGACAUCAGCCUUUCUUUUUAAACUGCUGGGAUCUGGGGUCUGAUUGUUUUCACAGCAAACCCCAGCUUAUCCUGACUGAUACAUUCAUAUGUUUGCCAUGUACAUCACCUGCUGUCUUUAUACACCCUGCAUGGUUUCAGAAGUUUCAGUUGGCAGUGGGAAAAAUACCUUUGCAGCAAAAACAUUUAAAGGGAAAACUGAGGGCAGAUAUUUAAUUAAAAUUUACUGCCACGUUAAGUUUUCACAACUAAGAACAGUACUAGGUUGGGAUUCCAGGAAGGUUGCUCAAGAGGCAUGGUGUUUGUGGUGGAAAUAAAAGCUAGAGACCCAGACCAAAAACCUCCCCAACCAACAACAUCAUGGCAGAGGGUCUAAGUGUUGGAGAUUCAGAGCAAGUUAUGGGGGGCACACAGAAUUGUUUGCAGGUCAUUUAAACAGCUCUCUGCUCUGCACAUAUGUGAGCCCUUUUCUUUUUUUUCCUUUCUCUAUCUCUCUCUCUUUUUUUAAUGGAUGCAAGCUCUCAUGGAGUCACCCAGGCUGGGGUACAGUAGCAUAAUCACAGCUCACUGCAGCCUGACCUCCUGGGCUCAAGUGAUCCUCCCUCAGCCUUCUGAGUAGCUGGGACUAUAGGCAGGCACCACCAUAUCCAGCUAAUUUUUAAAACUUUUGUAGAGUUGGGGUCUUGCUGUGUUGCCCAGGUUGGUUUCAAACUCCAGGGCUCAAAUGAUCCUCCCACCUUGGCCUCCCAGAAUGCUAGGACUAUGCUUGUGCCACCGCAUCCAGCCAUGGGCUUCCUUUUGUUAUCAAGCUGUAUUUCCAACACUUUCAUCUGGGUGUUUGAUGUAAUCUCUCUGGAGAGGGAUUGGUAAAAAUCAAACUUUAUCAGUAGUGCCCGUUUUGGUUCAUGAAGACAAGAGAAUUCUGCUCCUCUUAAUCCACUCCAAGCAUAUCACUGAGCCCUGCAAGUGUGAGAACUACUUGCAGGCUGCCAGAGUGCUGCUGACCACAUGGAGAUGUGCCUGAGCUGAGAUGGCUCCCUUUUGGUUACCAGGACAUUUCCAGUUUGGUUGCUAAAAACCGAACGUCUUUCUUGUGAGCCGUUCCCCUGAGAUGCCCGAGUUGGCUCUCAACCCCAAAUCUCACAUUUUCUAUUCUGUUUGUCAGCUACCCGAAGAGUGGGCUUACCCCUGCUAAACGUGGCUCUGAGAAAGCUGCAUCUGAUUUAGCAGUUCGCUAACAACUCAGCACUCCCAACAGUUCGUGAUCAUGUGAAGUAGAGGCACGAGUGCGGCUUUCACACACACAC